ACAGAACGUAAAGAUGCGUGACAU
rnacentral:siRNA from 1 species